GGGGGUUUCUGCUCUGGCCAAGCAAAGCUGCAGCAGGCUGCCCUGCUGGGAGGGUGGAGGCAAUGGCUCAGGAUAAAAGUCCUGAGCCUGGUGCAGAGCUGGAUCCUCUGAGAUCCGUGUGGGAGCUUUUGGUUUAAAUCCUUAUUUCUUCAUCACUUAUUAUGAUCAGAUAAAGGCUUUUUUCAGACCUUGCUGUGAGAAAUCUGUGUUUUGGCUGUGCUGCUGUGAACUUGGAGGAAAGCUGCUUGCACCAGGCCAGGCCAGCAUUGCUAUGGCAAGCCCUUUGCUGCAACCCUGCCCGUGGGUUUGCUCUGGCAAGGGGUGCCCUGGCCAACACUCACAGGAUGGGCUAGCCACCGGCACAGCUGGCUGGAGACACGUUUGUGGGAGAUGCCCCAGAGCCGAAGGGUCCCUGAGAGGGCUUGGAAACCUACCCCCGAGGCCAGCAACCAUCCUGUUGUCUUCCCAGAAGCACCACUCAGACAGCGCCUGUCACGAGCAGAAAACGUGGAUCAAAGGUAGUAAACGCAAGGAAGGAGCAGCUUCAGUCCAAGGCAUCUGCUCUGCCUUGCAUCAGGGUUCACUUCUGGAUCAGGGUAGGGAGAAGCUCAUGGACUUUGCUGAUGGAGGUGGUGCUGUCGCUCCUCCUGGGGCCACAGCUGGAGCAGUGCGUGUCCCCUCUGGCUGCCUGAGCAGAGGUGACUGCUGGCCCCAAAGGACCUGCAGCCCUCAGAUGUGUUUUCUGCCAAGCAAGCUGAAAAUUAUUCUUAAAUGGAGAAUAAAUGGGAAAAGAUGGUGGGGGAAAGAGCUGGGGGUUCUGAGGGGGAGAAAAUACUGGUUGAAAAAUGAAUAUUCAUCUAUCAAAGAACAAACUGAACUUGAAAUUCAACUAAUUUUCAUGUCUUUGCAUCAGAAAAUCUGGGGUAGGAGGAAGAGCAAAUAAAAUUAUUGGAGUUUUUCAGACACUUUAAUGGCAAAUUCUCUUCUUUCCUCCAGCCAGCCCCAGUACUAAGACCAUCAAUAAUCAGUUAGAAAUUGCCACAAAUAACAGAACCAAUUAUAUCUUUUAUUGUAGUGUCAAACACUUCAUAUGUGCAGUGCAGCUUUUGAGUAUUGUUCUUUGUUUAGCACAUCUGCAUUUGCUGAAGAUGAGUCCAGCAGCAACAAGCGGACUCAGGGUUCCUGCUCCCAUUUGCAGCUCCGAUGGAAGCACCGAAGCUGGGGUUAUUAAUCCCAUUCUCUAGCUACACAACACACACCUUGUGGUUGUGCUCAUGUGCCAGAGUCGUGGCUUCCAGGAUUAACUGGUGUUGAUAAACUUACUUAGCAACUUGCUCUGCAGCCCCACUUCGGCUAGCACCUGGCCCUGGAGAUGCAUGGACUUACUUUCCUUUGCCAAAAAGACCAAGCCCAUGGCAGAAUGAGAGGUGAGUGGGGAUGGACUUGGGCCAUAUUUUAUGCUUCAAUCCUGUUUACCCUGUAAGCCCGGGCUGGCUUGCUCUGAUGUUCAGAUGCUGGCUAAUUGGAGUCAACCUCUUUGGUUUCAGAAGUGUUUCUUGCAUUUCCAUUAAGUUGAUGGUUUUGAAUGUGAAUUGCAGCACUAUAAUCCACGCACUGGUGAAGCCCCUGGAGGCUCAAGCUGGGGAUAAUCAUAUCCUUUUUAUACUGCUG
ensembl:lncRNA